GGGACACUGGUUGAACUCCUUGGCCAUUCUGUGCCUCGAUAUCCUCUCUCCUGGUGAUGUGGAGAAAAUGUCAAUAGCAGUUAUUCACUGGGUUGCUUCAAAGUUCCUCCGCUGAACCUCAAGAGAGGGUGAGAUAGUUGAAGUCUGGCUUAUAAAUGAAGACAAGAUACUACAGAGGCAUUGAGAGCUUGUUGUAGACAUGACAUCUGGUCAACUCCACUUAUGCUACAACAGGCUCCAUCUUAACCAGCACUAACAGAAGUUAAGAAAACCACAGUGGGAUGCAUUAGUUAAGUCUUCACAAAAAAGAAAAGAGAAAUAAGAUAUCCAAAUGAAGCAGCUGGGAUGAAAUUGGGAUACUUGUUUUUGUUUUGCCAUUUUUUCAUAGGAGACAAAUAUAAAUUGGGUAUAACUAAGCCAGUAUCUGCUGAUACCAUGAUUUCAGAUAUAAAUAUUCAAUGCAGUCUUUUCCCUUCACUAUUUCCUGUUUUUUUCACUUAUGUUGUUUCCUUAUAGCUUUAUCAUCUCUUC